GAUGAACGCUGGCGGCGUGCCUAAUACAUGCAAGUCGAGCGAACAGAUAAGGAGCUUGCUCCUUUGACGUUAGCGGCGGACGGGUGAGUAACACGUGGGUAACCUACCUAUAAGACUGGAAUAACUCCGGGAAACCGGGGCUAAUGCAGGAUAACAUGUUGAACCGCAUGGUUCUACAGUGAAAGGCGGCUUUGCUGUCACUUAUAGAUGGACCCGCGCCGUAUUAGCUAGUUGGUGAGGUAACGGCUCACCAAGGCAACGAUACGUAGCCGACCUGAGAGGGUGAUCGGCCACACUGGAACUGAGACACGGUCCAGACUCCUACGGGAGGCAGCAGUAGGGAAUCUUCCGCAAAGGGCGAAAGCCUGACGGAGCAACGCCGCGUGAGUGAUGAAGGUCUUCGGAUCGUAAAACUCUGUUAUUAGGGAAGAACAAAUGCGUAAGUAACUGUGCGCGUCUUGACGGUACCUAAUCAGAAAGCCACGGCUAACUACGUG
rnacentral:rRNA from 1 species